GACGAACGCUGGCGGCGUGCCUAAUACAUGCAAGUAGAACGCAGUUGCGAACGGGUGAGUAACGCGUGGGUAACUGCCUCAUAGCGGGGGAUAACUAUUGGAAACGAUAGCUAAUACCGCAAACGGUGAGAUGGACCUGCGUUGUAUUAGCUAGUUGGUGAGGUAAAGGCGCACCAAGGCGUAGAUACAUAGCCGACCUGAGUGGGUGAUCGGCCACAAUGGGACUGAGACACGGCCCAGACUCCCACGGGAGGCAGCAGUAGGGAAACUUCGGCAAUGGGCGGAAGUCUGACCGAGCAACGCCGCCUGAGUGAAGAAGGUUUUCGGAUCGUAAAGCUCUGUUGUUUGAGAAGCGGUACCUAACCAGAAAGGGACGGCUAACUCCGUGCCAGCCGCCGCGGUAAUAC
rnacentral:rRNA from 1 species